rnacentral:rRNA from 1 species
AUGAACGCUGGCGGCGUGCCUAAUACAUGCAAGUCGAGCGAACAGACGAGGAGCUUGCUCCUCUGACGUUAGCGGCGGACGGGUGAGUAACACGUGGAUAACCUACCUAUAAGACUGGGAUAACUUCGGGAAACCGGAGCUAAUACCGGAUAAUAUAUUGAACCGCAUGGUUCAAUAGUGAAAGACGGUUUUGCUGUCACUUAUAGAUGGAUCCGCGCCGCAUUAGCUAGUUGGUAAGGUAACGGCUUACCAAGGCAACGAUGCGUAGCCGACCUGAGAGGGUGAUCGGCCACACUGGAACUGAGACACGGUCCAGACUCCUACGGGAGGCAGCAGUAGGGAAUCUUCCGCAAUGGGCGAAAGCCUGACGGAGCAACGCCGCGUGAGUGAUGAAGGUCUUCGGAUCGUAAAACUCUGUUAUUAGGGAAGAACAAAUGUGUAAGUAACGAUGCACGUCUGGACGGUACCUAAGCAGAAAGCCACGGCUAACUACGU